GUUAAGAACUCAGUUUGAAUUAAUUCAACAAGGAAAAUCCCAAUUGUAUCCUUAUUUAAUUUACUUUAUUUUUUUUCAGAUUAUGAAUCAACAAGGAGUGCAAAAUAUGCCAACUGUAUGGAUUCUUGGUGAUAGCUACAUUCGCCGUGGGGAAGGAGGCAGCAAGGAGAACCUAUGGCAGCAACCUGGGUUCCAAUGCCCAGGUAGAGUGGUUUGGCUGGGGUGGAUUGAGGUGGCACUCUGUUGUCCCCCACUUCAAUAAUUUGGUGACAAGAAAUUCUCCCCCGGAUGUCCUGCUUCUUCACUGUGGCGGGAACGAUUUGGGCAAAAUUCGUAGUGUGAAUCUUGUCACAGUGAUGAAGCAGGACUUGCAGAAUCUUCACCAGCGUUUCCCAAACAUGAUGAUUAUAUAUUCGGCCAUCACCCAGAGACGCUGCUGGGGUUCUGCACGCCCAAGGGGAGUUUGCCCAUUCUCGUAGAUGGGUGAACAGUGAGAUGGCUCUUAGGGAUCAGGUUCAUUUGUCCCCUUUGGGCAAUGACAUUUUUUUAAAUAACUUAGCUGAGUGUCUGAGAGCCUUAUUCCCUUAAGGGUGAUAUGGGAUUAAUGCUUCACACUAGUCUAUUGGCUAUUUCAGAUGAGGAUUGUUAAAGUGUAUGUUGUGUUUGAUGUUCAUUUGGGUUGAACAGGGUUUUUUGCUGAGUGAGGUGAAUUUGGGUUGGUAGCUGUAUCACUGUUCAUUUCCUGAUCCCUUAACUAAAUUUAUGAUUUGGCAUUUUUUUUCUCCUAAAUUACUCCCAUUUCUCUCUAAUCUUUUCAAUUGGCAUGAGUUUCCCAAAUUAGGAGUGCCACUUAUCCACCUUAGCCAAACCCUCACCUCUUAUUGGUUCUCCUAACUGUCUCUCCCCAUGGUGAAUGUAGCUUGUUGGACCAUGUUCACUAUGUUCACUGUAUCGUCAUCAAAGACCAGUGACUCAGCAAUGCUUUGUGAUCACCUGUGUAAUGGAUAUAAUGAUGUGUCAUAUCAUCUCUACAGACAGUAAGGAUAUUGUAAAGGAUGGAGUAUUCCCAUUUCUGCUCUCUAACCUUUUCAGCCAAUGCUGUUAUCAUGUGUCACAUUGUAUCCAGUUGGCGAGUGAAAAUAUUGUGAUGGAUGAAGUUUGCAAGUUUUUACCCGAGCAUUUCAAUCAGUGCUGUU